UUUAAAAGCAUCACAGAAUCGAUUCUUUAGUUCUCACCUGUCUCUUGUGUUCGGAUCUCUCACAUGACAGGGAGAAUGGGGACAGAGGAAGGGUCUGUAACACAAACGAAUUGCUGAAGGUUCUUCGAAGUUUUUGGAAAACUAAAUGCCCAAAACUGAUAUUCACAGACCACCUGAACACUCACCCGGGAGGGACAGCUCGGGUUUACAGAAACGCUGCUCCGACGAUACCGAGCCGAACUAUUAGAGCUGAAUACUGUCGUCCCGUCGCUGCAGUGCCAGCAAUCAACAUCACUCAGAAGAGAGUGCAGUUCUCUCACCUGACGUUCGUGAUCAUGGGGGCGCUGUUCGACCUUCGGAGGGCUCCUCCUGCGCAUGCGCACUGGUCCACCUCCAUCCUCUCCAUAGCUCGUCCUCUGGCGCCGGGACUGCUCGUUACUCACGGCCGGGCUGAACGCGACCUGACGCGGCCUAACCCCCAAAUCUCACCCGGCAAAAGCCCGACCAGCAGGCCUCACGCCAAAAUACCCGAUCCAAUUUAACUGAAUGAACUGCUUUCCCGUGUCUAUCGCAUUUUGUUUUAUUUUCCAAACGAAAUAGUGUCAGCUUGAUACACUAAUUUACUGAACAGCUGUGAGCUCGAGCUGCAGCUGGUUUAUCGGAUCGCACACAAACUUAGUAUGAACUCCUCAGGUUGCUUUCGUCGGCGUAAACAGGAAGCAAAUACAGUUAUUUCUUAGCAUUAAAGAGAUUUUUCGUAUUCAGACCACAAGUUAUGUAUAGUCGGCACUAUUUCCAAAGCAAAGCCACCAACAAGGUCCUUUGGCUUUUUAAUCCAAUCCAAUUUAUCCAAACAGAGCAAAUAAAACAUCGAAAAGCAAAAACAGAACAUAAGCGAAUAAAUACGGAUAAAAGUGGUAAGAAAAUACGCUUUCGGGUCUUUUCGGUCAAAUGUCGUUAUAAAGGUGAAGCUUUCUGCCACGGCUUGUUUUUCUUGUUUUUUUUUUUUUCAAGUUUACCUGCUAGUUUGUAAAGCAGUCGGAGAAAUGACAUAACACCAUCCCGAUCAAACAUAUGAUCGUCGGCUCUGUCGGCGAAAGCAUCCUCAUCUAAAAGUGUCUGCUGAUACAGUCUGAAACACGGGAUACAUUAAAAGUUUUCGGUCAUUUCUUAAUUUAGAAAAUAAAACAUAUUUCCCGCAACCAAAUAGAGAUUGUGCAUCCCCUUGUACAAC
rnacentral:lncRNA from 1 species